AGAGUUUGAUCAUGGCUCAGGACGAACGCUGGCGGCGUGCUUAACACAUGCAAGUCGAACGGAAAGGCCCUUCGGGGUACUCGAGUGGCGAACGGGUGAGUAACACGUGGGUGAUCUGCCCUGCACUUUGGGAUAAGCCUGGGAAACUGGGUCUAAUACCGGAUAGGACUACGAAUCGCAUGGUUUGUGGUGGAAAGCUUUUGCGGUGUGGGAUGGGCCCGCGGCCUAUCAGCUUGUUGGUGGGGUGAUGGCCUACCAAGGCGACGACGGGUAGCCGGCCUGAGAGGGUGUCCGGCCACACUGGGACUGAGAUACGGCCCAGACUCCUACGGGAGGCAGCAGUGGGGAAUAUUGCACAAUGGGCGCAAGCCUGAUGCAGCGACGCCGCGUGAGGGAUGACGGCCUUCGGGUUGUAAACCUCUUUCAGUAGGGACGAAGCGCAAGUGACGGUACCUAUAGAAGAAGCACCGGCCAACUACGUGCCAGCAGCCGCGGUAAUAC
rnacentral:rRNA from 1 species